GGCGGGAAAGGGAGGGAGCGGGGCGGGCACCCGAGCGGGACACCCGGGCGGGGGCCGAGAAGGUGUUUUCUCCCCCGCCCCCGGGGCUCGCAGCGAGGGAGGAAGCUGGUGGAAAGCUGGGCCCACGACUGGCGCGGGGAAUCGAUGACUCGGCUGGUGGGCACGGCCACCUGGGUGGGGGCAGCGGAGGGGGGCGGCGGAGCGCCGAUGUCAUGGAUGGGCUCCGAGGGGCUUGCGGGAGGGGGGCCACAAGUGUUCGGGGCCGUUUUGGCGGCGAGGCGUGAUAAGCGGGAGCUGCGGUGCUCACGCUCGCCUAGCCGACCGCCAUUUCACAUCCUGCGGAGGAGGCGGGGGGCAGCCGCGGAGACAGCUUUUUACAAGGAUGCCAUUGCUUUCCUUUUGCAUCUGAAGCAAGUUCUGGUUCAAAUGGAGAGUGUAGCCUUUUGGAAUGGUCCACUAAAUCAACCAUUGAUGUAAUAUGCUUGCCUUGUCUCAUCACUGUGACUCCUUGAGUUCCUAGAUCCGUAGAUCCAUCAGAAUCCUGUGUUUAUGACACAUCAUGAAGACUAUAUGCAAAGAGGGUGGCAAGAAAGAAAAGAUGCACACAUUGCCUCCUCUGCUUGAAUGUAAGAUCCAUUGUACCACCGGACUUCAUUUAUAAAACAGACGUUCAAACAUAAAAGUGUGAAGAUUUUUAAAAUGGUGACUGCAGAACACUAAACCAAGCACUGUGCCCUGUAGAACUGCACAGUUUGCAUGCCCAUGAAGUUGACCCUGAGCUCAGUGUUUCUCAAGGGCUUCUGAUGUGUUAGGUGAAACAAGUCUACAUUGUACAGCAUAUUUAACAUCCCUGGCCCCUGGGCACUACAUGCAACUCUGACAAAAAUGCCCCCCCAAGAGGAGUUACUACUCUCCACUGAACUUCUGGAGUGCACUCCACUGUCUCCGGCUGGGAACCAUGGUCAUUACAGAUCCAAGCAAGGUUUUUGCUAGUGAUUCUCAGGGAAAAAUAGAGUUGAGUUUAAAAGAUUUCAGAAGUCUCAUACCGGAGAGAACAAAAUUAUGGUGACCUUUUUCCCAUUGUCAGAAAAAUACUACUAUCUGCAUUGUGAUGAAAUAAAUAUUUGGGAUGAAAGUUUAAAAGUUAUCAGUGGGUUUUAUGUGUCACAUGGAUAUAAAUGGCAGUUGACUCCAGAUAGAUGGCAAUUUCUGGUAGUUAAGAAAAAAAGUAGAGAACUACAGGAAAGUAAAGAGAACUAUCUCACUGUCAUUAUCUUCAUCAAUUGGCUGAAGGGAGAAAAAUUUAAAAUGCCCUCAAGAAAAAUUGAGGAAGUCGCCAUAAAAAGCUGUGGUACUCUUAAUAGAUUUUGAACUUAGUUUCAUUGUAUCUCUCUUUUUUAAGUUUUGGUUCUUGAUUUAAGUAUAUUAACAUCAUAACACAUUAGAGCUGAAACAAGAUAUUCUAGAUCAUUUGUUUUCUUUAUCCCUACACUGGUAUUAGCUAUGUAGAGAUUAAAAGCUCUAGCUCUAUAGACCUGGCCUUGCCUUUGCUAAUGCUGAACCUCAGUUUUUUCCUCAACAAAAUGAGGAUAAGUGUAUAUUAUCUUAGGCUGUAAGUCAUUCUACCAAAAGCCAAUUCAGUAAAAAGUAAUUUUACCAGAGAAUAUGUUUGUUAAAUAAAUUUAAGGUGGAUUUUCUAUAAAACAAGUAUUUGGUAAAUUUAACUACCUAAUUCUUUGGCAAAUUAAUUUUUAGCAAAUUGGACUGUUUUCCAUCCCUAUUAGGCUUAUUAUAUGAAUUAAAUGAACUAUUGCACACAUACAGAGAGUGCUCAGUAAGUCUUAGCUAUAUAAUUGCUCCAACAUUCUGACUUGAAGCCUUGCCCAUUCUCUCUCUGAAUAUUCCCCAUUCCUGCCCACAUAAUUGACCUUCUGUAGGCUUUCACUACCUUUAGGUAGACUAUUGCAGUAGUCACUUAUUGGCCUCUUGGUUCAUUCCCCUCCAUACUUACUUUCUACACCACGACAAGGGUGGUCUAUCACAUAAAUUUUAAAUUAUCAACUACAAUAUAAUAGUCAUUUCACCUUUUUUAUAUAUCCUUUAGCACCACUGGAGUACUUACAGUUCCUUAAAUAUACCUUUUUUUUUUUUUUUUUAAGCAUCAGAUUUCUCUGCCUUUGCCUUUCUAACUGGAAUAUCUUCCCUCUUCUUGUCUCCUGCCAAAAUUUUUAUUCAUCUUUCAAGUUUUAGUUAAAAUGCCAUUUCCCUUGUAAAAGUCUCCCUGACUUCCCCAAACAAAUUUAGGUGUUCUUUCCAGGCUCCCACUUUUUUUGGUACAUGCUUCUAUUAUAACUCUUAGAUUAUUGUAGUUGUAGUUUGUCAUUGUAAUAGAAUAUAAUCUCCUUGAAGGAAAGGACCCUGUCUUUUUAUCUUUUAUAUACUAGCCCCAUGUAUAGUGGCUAGACUAUAUCUUCAAUGUUUAUUGAAUUAAAAAAUUAAAAGAUCUAUUUACAAACCUCACUACUGCUUUCCCGCUACACCUCCGUUUUAUAGAUCAGGAAACUGAGGCCCAAAGAAGUGAAGCUAUUUAGCAAGAACCUAAGCCUUCUAACUCCAGAUCUAUUACUUUUACUUCUUUACUGUAGAGAAUCUUCUGAGUAGGGUCUAUAUGCUAGUCAUUUCUGUUGUAGGAAAUGGACUGUCCUGUCAGUGUCUUUCCAUUUAUUUCUAAUCUAGGGAAUAAGCAGAAGGGCAUAGUGAUCUGGCAAAAUUUGUAUUUUCUUUCCUUUUUUUUUUUUAAGAUUUUAUUUAUUUAUUUGACAGAGAGAGGCACAGCGAGAGAGGGAACACAAGCAGGGGGAGUGGGAGAGGGAGAAGCAGGCCUCCCGCAGAGCAGGGAACCCGAUGCGGGGCUCAAUCCCCAGACACUGGAAUCAUGACCUGAGCAGAAGGCAGACGCUUAACCGACUGAGCCACCCAGGCGCCCCUGUAUUUUCUUUCUUAUUUAAUUAUUUGGUUGCUUUUGUUUGUUUUCUAGUAAAUUCAGUGGAAGUCAAGGUAAAUUAUUUGUCUUAACCACCCCCAGGGGACAUUUGGUAAAAUGUCUGGAGACAUUUUUGAUUAUCACAUCUGAAGGACUGCUACCUAUAUCAAGUAGGUAAGAAUCCAGGAAUGCAGCUAAAUAUCUUAUAAUGCAUAGGACAGCCCCCAUAACAGAGAGAAUUAUCUGACCCAAAAUGUCAAUAGUGCCAAGGCUGAAAAGCCCUGAUCUAGUCCAAAGGAAAUUUUUACUCAGCCCUUCAUCCACUGUGUUGCCUCUAUGAAACCAUGAUGGAAAAGAAACUCAUUCCCCACCCCACCCCUCCCCCAAGGGAUUUGGAAGCCCUAUAUGGUGAACUCUGGAAGCAAUUGCUAUCAACUAUGCACUCUCAAAAGACUUCAUGCAGGUUUCCCCCCAUGGAUUCAUAGCACCUGCCUGGGUGUAAGAUAGGUACACAAAUAUGUAUUGCCUGAAUGAUGAUUAAGUAUAUUUUAACCAAAAGAAUGGGGUUUUAUUUCUUUUUUUAAAACUAAAGGGAAGUCAAAUCAAUCAUUGUGGUGAGAAUUUCUGUUCUUAUCUUUUUAUUUCAGUUACAGGAAGAAGCAAAACUUUUUAAAAACAACUCUCAACUCACCCACUUCCAUAAAUUAGCAGUAAUAGUUUUAAGGGAAAGGCCAAUGGGCCUAUAAAUUAAAGAUGAUGUUUGAGGAACAAAAAAUAAGAGAAGCUUUCAGAAUAAAGUAAUAUUAGAGCUGAUGCAUGAGCUCUCCAGGACCCUCAUUUAAAUUAUAUAUCCAGAAUUGAAACCAGAGCAUUUCUGAUGGAUUAUGGCUAGGCAGGGGAAGAGACCAAACACACGUGGAGUAAGGUUAGAUUAAGUUCCCAAUUUAAAUAAUCAAGAUACGGAAUCUCAGAAGCAAGGUGUCAUAUAGAGCAGCAUAUCUCAGGGUAGUAUUCCCUGGCCCCAAUGUCCCCACUGCACUUUUAUAUCUACAGUUUAAAUCACAUUCCAGGAAAACUUCCACUAAUAAUCUUUGUUAUUGACAGUGAACUCUCCUGAGUUUUGAUCCUCAUUUUAUAUCCUCAUUCCAGGGUUCAGGAAAGACUAUCCUCAAAUGUGUAGAUACAAAUCAACACUUACAUUUAUUUUCUCAGUAAAAUGUAUUUUUCCAGUCUUAAAGGUUUUAAAUGCAUAGCAUAGGAAAUACGGAAAACCAUAAAGAAAAUAUAUUCAGUCCCACCCAGAGGCAGUUAUAAUUAACAUUUUAGUCCAUUUUUCUUCUAGAACAUUUUUCUAUGAAUAUAUUACUUAGUGGAAGCAAUGUCCCACUUUUUUUACUUUACAUUAUAGAAGCAUUUUCCAUACAAAUCAAAAUUUUUCAUACCCAUUAUUUUAAUAGAUGCAGAAUAUACUGUGCUAUGGACAUACGGCAGUUUACCACUUUCCCACAGUAGGCCGACAAUAGAGUGUUUUAAAUUUUACAUUAUAAUAAAUAUCCCACUGAGCAUUUGCUCCAUUUUGGAUCCUACCCUUAACUUUUCAAGGAACUUACUUUAUAGUUUAUUAUUUGACAAGAGCAUCAAUUCCUGGGACAUGCCAUGUUCCUUCUCUCCACCUCAUUUGCCCACUUAAUUCACUCUUUAGAUUUCAGGUCAAAGACCACUUCCUCCGGGAAGUCUUCCCAAACUUUAUAUUUGAUUAUGGUUUUCUGUUACAUAUUCUAAUUGUACAGUGUUCCUUUUUUCCAUAGCACUUACCUCUGGUUGUAAUAAUCUAUUCAUUUGUUUAUUACUUGGUUAAUUCUAUUUCCCCCUUGGACUAGAAUACUACAAUCACUAUCUGGAUAAGCAGUGAUUAUAACGUUAUAAACACAGCCCAAUUAAUGUGAUCUCAUUUGUUUCACUGACAAGAUGGGUUAAAGCUUGAGAUUGAAAUACAAUUAGUCCAGAAAUACUUACGGGUCAGGCAUUACUCUAGGUGCUGGGAAUAUUAGAAAUGAGAACACCAGGCGUGAUUUCAGUCUUCAUGGUGCUUAUAGUCUAAUGCAGCAUUUGGCAAACUAGGGGGACAGAUAAUAAAUAUUUGGGGUUUUCAGGCUAUAUGGCCUCUCACAACUACUCAACUUUGCCAUUGAAAUGCAAAAGCAAUCAUCAACAAUCAUAAAUAAGAGAGUGUGUUUAGGUUCCAAUAGAACUGCAGUGGGGCUGGAUUUGACCCAUGGGCUAUUGUUUACCCCUGGUCUGUUGGACAAGACAGCCAUUAAACUGAUCAUAUGAGAUGAUGAAUACUUCAAAAGAAAAGGACAGGGUGCAGUAAUGUCACAUGGCAGAGCUGUCUAACCUAGUUUAGGGAAAGGAACAAAGACUUCUUAAGGAAUAGACUUUAAAAUUUAAGGAAGAAGUGGAAUUAUCUAAAGUUAGGGCAACAGACUCCGUGAAGACCUGAAGUAUAGAAAGAGCAAGAAUAGAAAGAAAUUAAACUUAAGCUUGGAGAUUGAUAGGGAGAGGGAGCUGAAAUUGUAAGAAUGUAGAGUGAAAAGACAGAUUCAAGAAAAGACAAAUUUUCAAAACCUAAUACUCCCUAGAGGAAGAGGUGCCGGCAGGAAAGACUGAGAAGGGAUGAUCAAUGAGGCAUAGCAAUAGCAGGAAGUUUAAGACCUUACAGACACUGUAACCUCCUAUCUGUAUGUGUAGGAUAUGCUGGUUGGGAGAUACUAGCCUAAAGGCUACAUGAACCUCAGCGGACUGAUGUACUUUUUUGAAGGAUAAGAUUAUAUAUAUAUAUAUAUAUAUACAAAUAUAUAUAGGUGUAUAGAAAUAUAUAUAGAGAGAGAGAGAGAGAAGAAUAGAGCUGAGGGCUGAGUAAAGAUGAUUGGGAGUGAUAGGGUAGAGAAUGAAGAGUAGUAAAGAAAUCAAAAGUAAAAAGAUAGGAACAGAUUACUGGUAUAUAGUAGGUGCUCAAUAAUUUUUUGAUAAAUGAAUGAAAGGAUAUCAAUAUAAGAUCAAAGAAUCCAAGAGGGAAAGGGUUUCAAUAACAGGUUGGUCAAUAGUUUUGCAUACUUAAAAGAGCUAUUGCUCAAGGCUAGUUUCCUUGGCCAUCUGGGAAAAGAUGCAAGUAAGGACUCAGCCACUCCUGAUGCCCCAGCAUAGGAUAAGCCUGACCUUCCAAUUUCUACCUGUAGGAAAAGCUGACCCAGUUUCUUUCUUCCCUAAAGAUUUCAAUAAAUAGGAAUAGGGACCUUCCUGUGUCAGUACCUGCUCAAAACAGAAUAGGAACAAGAUUUUUUCAUGGAUUACAAUGACACUAGCUCAACUGUUACCUCUUCUCUCAGUCACCUAUGUUAAAUGUGUGUUUUAUUACUUAGUUCUAAACAUUUUGUAUUGUUUUAAUUUGUUAUUAACUUCUUAUUGAUAUCUAUAAAGUCCUAUGUUAGAUGCUGUAAUUUUUUUAAAAAUGUAAGACAUGGCUCUGGGCUCAAGUAUUAUGUAAUUAACCAAUAAAUUGUAAUCUUCUUGACAUAAGGAAUCAUAUUUGACAUUUCCUUUCCUUCCUUGCACAGUAUCAGGCAUAUGGUUGGUAUGUAGAAAUAAUUUUCCCCUGCCCUCUACAUUGCACCAUUUGGUGACCAAAUGGUGUCUAUCUAGCUACUUCUGUGUGACUUGGACAAAACAUGCUGCUUUCUGAGGCAAUGAUAUUCUCAAGGCAUCAGUAACAAUAAUUUCAGCUUGUUGAAGGUGGAGGUUCUUUGUGUAAAGGUCAGCCUGUCAGUAAAUAGCAUGCCACCCUGUUCUUUCAAGAUUAUAAGAAACCUUUGUACAUGUAUUUUUUAUACUUAAAAAAAAAAAAAGUAGUGGGAACCUGUACCCAGGGUCUCACCAGAUGUUUUCAAAUCAGAACUGGGGCAACUGAGUUGUAAUUUAUUUUUUAAACAUUUAUUUUUAGCAAUUUAUGAGAGUGGGGAGCUGAGAUUUUUCUUGCCUGAAUUAGCAAUAAUUUCAUUACCUAUUCAACGUUAGCAAAAUACUAAGCUAGCCCUAAGUUGAAAAUAUGAAACACAGGUUCUUACCAAGUCAAAAAAGUGGAACAAAGAUGAGUCUUAAGAAUGAAGGGAGGGGCGCCUGGGUGGCUCAGUCGGUUGGGCAUCUGUCUUCAGCUCGGGUCAUGGUCUCGGGGUCCUGGGAUCGAGCCCCACAUCGGGCUCCCUGCUCAGUGGGAAGCCUGCUUCUCCCUCUCCCUCUGCCUGCCUGUCUGCCUACUUGUGAUCUCUCUCUCUGUGUCAAAUAAAUAAAUAAAUAAAUAAAUAAAUAAAUAAAUAAAUAAUCUUUAAGUCUUUCAAGACUUAAAUUAUUAAAGACUGACACAUGGCUUACAGUCUUCCUGUUUUCCUUACUGCUACCCUUAUCCUGAGUGAAUCCAUCACCAACGUAGACAGAAUACCACCCUCGAAGUUCCUUGACAUCUCAUCCCCACUGAUCUUGGGCUGCUCGUUUCUGUUGCCAUACCUGGGAUCCUGUCAUACACCCAAUCUGUUUCACCUCUAACUGCAGACUUCACAUUCUCUGGCCACAACAUGCAUCCCAGCUCUCUCCCUCAGUUCCUCCCAGUACAUCAUUCUCAGUUCCCUGAUGUCUCCAGUGCUCUUCCUCUAUGUCAGUCUCUCGUCCUUCUCUGACGUGCGACCUCCAAUCCAGACUUCUGUUUUUUCUCCCUAUCAUCCUUCUCCUGCCUUUACUUCCUUUGAUCUUUUGCUGCAUUGUAUUUUAAAUUAUUUACCACUCUCUUGCCAGAACCACAUCACCUUUUCCCUGCUUGCCCUGCUGUCACUAACCUGGCAAAACACCAGCUCUAACUGGGUACCUGUACCCAGAUUGCUGAGUGCACCCAGUUAGAAAAAAUAGCACUGCUGUGUAGGUUGGCAUUUCACAUUGUCCAAUCAGGACCACAGACCCGUUAGGUCACUCUGUCCAUAUUGUUGGGAAGGGAAGGUUAGUUAUCCUUAUAUUGCUCUAGACUCUACUCCAUAUGCCAGGGUACACUUGUUAUAAAUUCUCCUUUGUAUACCCAAAAUUAGUAGUAGGCUGAAUAAUUUCAAAUGUCAUUACCCUCUCUCUGAGUCUCUAACAUAGCUUUUGUGCCUACUUUCCUGUUUUAACUUUAUCGUUUUGGGUCUAGUUCACCCAAUAAAGUAAAUUUCUAAUGUUUUUUAAAUUAAUAUUUGGUCAGUCAAAAAGAACAUGUCUCAGACAUUAUGGAAUGAAGUGAGAACUGAAGGCAAAUCACUUGUAGGGAUGAUUACCCUUUUUAGCAAGGCUUUUGUGAAUCUAAGUAGUCUCUAGUUGUUGUAACUCAGGGUCUGGGGACUUAGGCUCACCUCCCUUGAGUCAUUUCAUUCUUGCCUUUCCCAACUUCCCCCUUCCAGAUUUCAGAUUCUACAAAUUUUCUAAAACCAGACGCUUCUUUUUUCCUAAAGUAACAGAGAAAGCAGUGCUACUUGGGUAGGGAGAAGUGCAGGGUGCUGUUUGCGGGUGUAGGUCCUUUAUAUUGAAUGGCAGUAGCAUACUGGUGAAGAGUGUAGGCUCUAUACCCAGUUUCCCUACUUACCUGCUCUGUAACUUUGGGAAAAUUACUCUCUGUGCCUCAGUUUUCCCAUCUGUGAUAUAUAGAUGAUAAUACUAGUACCCACCUCAGUGUUGUUGUGAGGAUUGAAUUACAUGUAUUAAAUGAGUUAAUGCCUUAGAACUGGUGAGCACUCAGUACCUGUAAGCUAUUCAUAAUUUAGAAGCAGCUUCCCUAUUUCCUAAAAUACAUUUAUUCAUUACAAGAAGAGACUAAUGAUGAAAGCUAGAAGCUAUUAAAAUUCCAUUGAUUGGAUAUAAAAAGUAGACUUUUAGAAUUGCAAAAGACUCAAGAAAUUAUUUAGACCAUUGGUUUUUAACCAGUACUAUGCAUCAGAAUCACUUCUGAAGUGUAAAGCUGCAGUUACCCAGGCCCUCCCUUCUCACAUCUACCAAGUCAAAAUAAAAUGUCCACAGGCAAUCCCGGUGCAGUCUUCCUUGCAAGAACCACUGAAAUAAUUCAAGUCUUUAUGUUUUAUGAUAAGGAUAGUGAGACUUAGAAAGAAUACAUAACUUACCUAAGACCCCAUAGAAUAGGUAGGAUCAAGGUCACCUAGCUCCUUGAUAAGUGAUCUUCCUAUUCUUUUAUGUUGCCUGCCAAAAUAUAUUAACUUUCCAAGGAACUAAUAUGGGAGUUUAUCCUCCUCUCAGUAAUAUCAGGAAGAAUAAUAUAGGCUUGAAAAGUGUACUUUAUUCAUCAUUUAAUUCAAAAUAACAAAAUUUAUUGUACAAAUCAUGCAAAGGACUAUUGCACAUUUACAAUAGGAUUUAAAGUGAAUUUUGCUGUGCUUUUCAUGUGGACAUUAGUCUUUGCCACAAUGCUUGCUGCUAAUUAGUACAAGGAAAUACUGUGUGUGGCAGAGAGCUGCUUAACCCAACCUUACAGACUGAAAGCAAACAAAUGCUUUAUAGGGAAAGGUAGCUGUAGGAAUUAAACUUUGUAGCGCUCUCAAUAAUAAAAUAUGCAUUUUAUAUAAAUAGGAUUUUUUUUGUUUUACAUCUUAAGUUUUUUAUUUUUUUAAAAGAUUUUAUUUAUUUGAGAGAGCAAGAGAGCGAGAGAACAUGCAUGCAGUGUGCGCAUGUGCAAGCCGGGGGAGGAGCAGAGGGAGAGGGACAAGCAGACUCUGUGCUCUUGAGCGGGAAGCCCAUAGUGGGCCCUGACACGGGCCAGUCUCACGACCCUGAGAUCAUGACCUGAGCUGAAAUCAAGAGUUGGAUGCUUAACUGACUAAGCCACCCAGGUGCCCCUGUUUUAAGUUAAAAAAAAAAAAAAAAAGGCAAAAAAACCCUUGUAAAAAAUUCUUAGAAUUUUCUGGUCUAUAAACAGUUAAUGUAGAAAAAAAAAAUCAGUGGUUAUUAGGUAUAGUGUUCUUAUUGUAGCUUUAUUGAUUGGUAGUUUGAAAGUCUAAAAAAUAUAGCAAAACCAAAUUCUGAGUUUUUGUGUUUGGUUUGGGUACUAUGAUAUUAUCUCUCUUAAAAUAUGUUUUUCUUUAUCCAUAAUAUGGAGGAAUCAAAAAACUGCAUUAGAACUUGGAUGUGAAUUUAUGCAAAUAUGUGAAACAAAUUAAGAUGGCAGAGCAUAAGAAAAUGGAACUCAAAUGAAAUCUACCUCUCAAAGCAGGUCUAUUUAUAUUUCACUAUAUUUGCUGUUAUAAAUUUAUUUCCAUGUAUUUCUUUGCUGCCCACCCAACUUCUGACUCUUAGGCAACUCUGUUUUACUAAUAAACCACUCAUUUUGAUCCUGGAAAUGGUAUGCACAAGCCCCUAAAAGAAGUCCACCAUUCCAGAUCCCCAUCAACCUAUUAUUAAGCUACUGUUGCUUCUACUGUGUCUUUGCCUGAUUCCAAACCCUUUGUUCUACACUUCGUCUCAGGUUUGGGCUUUGGAUCUUUUUACUUGAUGCUUAUUUUUGGCUUCUUGGCACUGGCCUCUGUGCUCAAUCUAAUCAUCUUGGUUUAGACUCACCUUCUACUUCCAAGCUGCCAAGAUUUAAACCCUUUGAUUCUAGCAGUUCUGGAAUUACUAGCACAGCCACUGGCUGCUGCCUCGAGGAGACCAGUCCCAAAGACUAACCUCAUAUUAUAAACAUCCAUUUAUUCAUCUGUUCAACAGAUUUCAUUCAUCAGUACUAUGUGUAAACCACCAGAGUAGUUUCUGGAGGAAUAUAGAAGAUUAAUAAGUGAUAGAAAGCUCUUAAAAUCUGGUGGGACAAAUAAACAAGUAUAUAGUGAUAAUUUAAGAUAGUAUGUGUUCAACUCUUAUGAAAUAUGUAUAAAUGCAAGACAUCAAUUAACAAAAACUUCAAAUAGAUUUCUUUUCUUCUUUUCUUUUCUUUUUUCUUCUUUCAGUAGGCUCCAUGCCCAGCAUGGAACCCAAUGGGAGGCUUGAACUCACAACCCUGAGAUCAAGACCUGAACUCAAGACCUAAGCUGAGAUCAAGAGUCAGACCCUUAACUGACUGAGCCACCCAGGCACCCAAAAGCUUCAAACAGAAAGAUGUCUAACCACGAAGUUAGGGAUAUAGGGUACAAGGGGACAUGACCAAAAGAACCUGGCUGGGAUGGUGGGCCACGGAUUUAAAUAAAUUGAGAAUACUGACAGGUUAAGUUAACAAACUUGAAGGUAGGGUAGGAUAAACACCAUGGGAGAAAGGCAUUCCAAAAAGUAGAACCAAAGCAAUAGGAACAGAAAAAGUAAGUUAUAUUUAAAAAUCUUACCUAGAUUGGUUGACAGUAUAAGUAGAAAUGGAAGAAAGCCUUAAAAAACUGGUUGGAACCAGAUUAUUGAAGGCUUUGAGUACGGAGAAUUUAGAAUUGGCAAACAUAUACUGGGGAGUCAGAAGGUUUUGAGCAGGAAAUGAUAACUGGCUUGAUUUAACAGUGGUAUACAGGAAGGAGUUGGUAGUGAGGAGAUAGGCAGCAGAGACUGCAGACCAGGAAAUCAGUUAGGAGUCUAUUACAGUAAUCUAAGGUAGGGAAGGCCUGGGGAUGAAGACUUUAUUCAUUUCAUUAAGUGCCUGCUAUGAGCAAGGUGCUAGUGAUGCAAUGAGGACUAGGUCCUUGUCAUGCGGCGUUUUCAAUCUAGUGAGACAUUGAUCUCUUAAAGACUCCUAGAGGGGUCUCUAUUUUGGGACCAGUUCUGACCUUUGCCUGAUUACUAAGGAUUAGGUCCUGAUUUAACAAUGAGAUGUAUUUCCUACCUUAUAAAACUACUUUUCCAUUUUAUGAGUCUGUUAAGGCGAAGGUAUCCCAUCCACUUGCACAUAAAGAAAAGCAAUUUAUUACUUAAAACAAGAUAAGACAGGUACACUACCAGACAAGGCAAAGAAGAAAAUGACAUGUGUUUUAAAGAGAUAACUGAAGAGUAUGUGGAGAAUGAAUUGGAGGUUAGAUUAGGGGCAAGAAAACCGGUUAAGAGGUUGUUGUAGUAAUCCACCUGCUUGAUUGUGAGGGCCUGAACGAAGACCGUAUGAAAGAAGAACAAUCAUUGGUGGCUGCUUCCACUAUAGUCCUUUCUAUCCCUGCCCUCAACUAAAGAAUGGGUAGGGGACUCUCAUUUGGAAUUGAAUCUUUUUUUUUUUUUUUUUUUUUGAGAGAGAGAGAGUGAGUAAGUGGGGGGAAGGACAGAAGGAGAGGGAGAGAGAAUCCAGAGCAGACUCCUCGCUGAGCAUGGAGCCGGACACCCAGCUUGAUCCCAGGACCCUGAAAUCAUGACCCCAGCCGAAAUGAAGAGUGGGACACUCAACUGACAGAGCCACCCAGGCAUCCUUGGAAUUGAAUCUUGAACAGAGGGACUCAGGAACACAAGAAACACUGUUUACUUUUUCAGAUUUAGAGGUAAUGCUCCUAUUAUCAAGUAGUCUGUUUUCUGUUUUCCUUAUUUGGAGCAUGGUUCACCAGCCUUCACAUUGAUUCUGCGAGCUCCCUAAUAAAUUCUUGGUUUUGCUUUAGCUAGCCCAAAUUGGUUCCUAGGGCUUACAAUUAAAAACAAAACAAACAAACAAAAACACCCUAAUUGACCCUGUAUGCAGUGUUUGAAUCACUUGUGCAAUGUUUGAUAACCAGUAGAGACUGUUAGGUAGUAGGAAAUACGAAACUACAGUAGUGGUUCUCAAAGUUAUGCAUCAGCAUCACCUGAGAACUUGUUAAUAAUGUAAAUUCUCAGGCUUCACUCCAGACUUACUGAAUAUGAAACUCAAGCAGUGGGGCCCUAACAAUCUGAACAUUAGUAUGCCCUCUGGGUGAUUCUAAUGCACACUGAAUUUGAGAACCCACCCAACUAGAGCUUAGAAGGGAGAUUUAGGGUGGAGAUAAAGAUGUGUGAGUCAAAUAUAUGAUAAUUGCUAUUGGGGGAAUGAAUAAACUCCAAGAGUAGAAGAGAGAAGAUGAGCCCCUGAAAUAGAUGAAACAAUCAAAGAAAUUGAGACCAGUGCAGUACAAUCAGGGAGGGGGAAAUUUAACAGGUAUCAGGCGAUCUACAGUGUCAGGUGCUAUACAGAGGCCAAGGUAGAUAAGGACAGAGUCACAGCUAUAGGAGUGCCCAUUAGGAGGUUUUGCUGUCAAUUAAGAGAAGUGAUACAGAUAACAAGAAUAAGUGGUAAGAAAACACAGCCAAAAAAAAAAUAAACGGUACUUUUUGCAGCAGUUUGGGAGUGCAAGAAAGUAAGUAUAGUAAGGUCAAGAAGAGCUUUUUCAGGGUAGAUAUUUCAGUUAGCUUUUGCUGCAUAACGAACACUGGAAAACUCAGUGGCUUAAGACUGCAGUUAUUAUUGGGGCGCCUGGGUGGCUCAGUUGGCAUCUGCCUUUGGCUCAGGUCAUGAUCUCAGGGUCCUGGGAUCGAGCCCCACAUCGGGCUCCCUGCUCAGCAGGGAGCCUGCCUCCUGCCCCCCCCCCCCCGCUACUCCCCCUGCUUGGGCGCUCUCUCUCUCUCUCUUUCUCACUCUCGCCCUUGCUCUCUCUCUCAAAUAAAUAAAAUCUUAAAAAAAAAAGGCUGCAGUUAUUAUUAUAGCUCGUGUCUGAGGGUUGGCUGAUCUCAGUGGGGGCUGCUUGUGCAUCUACAAGCCUACUCAGGAGCUUUGUUCCAUGUUGGACUCUAUUUCACAUGUCAUCCUCCUCCUGUCUGGCUUACCUAGGCAUAGCCUUCUCAUGGAGAUGGAAGAAGAAUUUUAAGAGGACAAGCAGAAACAUACAAGGCCCCUUAAAUCCUUGACUCCAAACUGACACACCAGCACUUCUGCUUCAUUCUGUUGACCAGAUCAGGUUAUGUGGCUAAGUUCAGAUUCAAGGGGUGGGAAAUAGAAUUUAUCUUUGUAGAGAAAUUGCAAAGUGACACAGCAAAGGGCAUGGGUGGGCUCAUGGAGGGAUAUAGAAUUGGGAUCAUUCAUACUGUAGUAGGGAUGACAUGAGUAUGCUUGAAAGUAGAAUGGAAGGAAUAUGUAGAAUGAAAAAGAAAGUGAACCAAGGAGAAAGAUCAGUACCAUAGCUCAGAGAAUUAACCUUUAAAAAAAGGAAGGGUGCUUCUGGGAAUGAAAAGUAAGGGAAUUUGAUUGGAUUAGAUUUAGCAAAUUAAAAUGCAAGAUGCCCAGUAAAAUUCAGGUACACAAUGAAUACAUUUUUAGUAUUAAGUAUAUUCUGUACACUAUUUGGUAGGGUCUCAGUACAUAGUUUGCUGGGGAUUUUUAUUUUAAAUGGCAUUUAGAUAUUUCUAUAAUGCAAUAUUUGGGACAUACUUAUACUAAAAUAUGAUCGUUUGUUUAUUUGAAACUCAGAUUUAACUGGGCAUCCUGUAUUUUAUCUGGCAACACUACUUUGGAUGGAUUUUAAGUAAAUCCAUAGUAAAAUAAUCUACAAAGGAAUAGGUGGGUGUGCUUGGGGGUUUAAUCCUGGAAGAAGUUGGGAACAGCUGCUAUGGAUGCUGCGAAGUGUCAAAGAAAGGAUUGCUGAGCAGCAGUGAAGGCCUCUUCACAACAGGAAGCAUGACUUUUUCUUGGAUUAAAUCAGCUGUGAUGUUUCACUGCUGGGAAGCAGUAGUAGUAACAGAGAUUGCUGGUGCAGGCGACCACCUUGGUUUGACUUCAGUAGGAGAGGUCAGGGCAGGAGUAUAAUUGGGGUAUAAUUGAAAUGACUGGGGGUCCAGGUUGUAUAGGGAGGCAGGUGAAACCAGAAGGUGAAUCGGGAGGCAGAAGGUAAACAGUGAGUCAGAAUGGUAUUAAGAGGUGGAAGUUCACAAAGAAACGGAAUCUACAAUCUUAGAAUAGUUCUGUGUGAUAAUGGGGUUUAAAAUCCAAUUUCACAUUAUAGCACUGGAGCUAAAUUAAAAGCAAGAGCUCUGCAGACAAGGCACCUGGUUCUGCUUUCUAUUUGUGUGAUCUUUAACUUCCCUAUGCCUUAAGCUCUUUGUUAAGUAGGAAUAAUAAUAGUUCUUACCUCAUAGGGUUAUUGUGGGGAUUAGGUGAAACAAACCAUAUGAAGUACUUAGAACAGUAUGUCUGAUACACAGUAAACCCUCAAAUGUUGGUAAUGUUUUAUUAUUUUAAAUACCACUUACAUGCAUCUAUAAUCAAUAAAUGGGAGUGCUCUGGAGAAUAUUAUUUUAAAGCAAAAUGGCAAGCACACAUAGUAUGUUUUCCACCAUAGCUAACAAAUGCUAUGUUUGGUAAAUAUAUGUACAAUCAGCUACCUGUUGAUGUUGGAGCCCACAAAACCUUUACCAUGUAAGGUUGUUUUCUUUACUUUUACUACAAGAAAAUAAUUACCAUGCUCAAGUCAUAUCUGUCUCCUCAUUUCCCCAUAGGUGACCAUGCUUUGGGAUUUUCAUAGUUUGAGUUAAUUCCUCUGGGCUCCGCCACCCAGUGAGUUAAACAGGACAAGAUUCCACCCAGAGGAUUGUGGUUCUGGGAAUGUAAGCAGCUUGUUUUCAUGAGAUCUGCACCCUGACCUGGCCUACUGUUAGGAGCGGUUGUGUUGGUGGUUGUGUGUUUUUAGUCGUUUUUUCUAUCUUAUACAGUUAUUUGUAUAUAAACAUUUUUUAAAGUAAAUAUUUUAUGGGGAUGUUUUGUUUAUCCAAAGAAAAAUUAAAACUAUUUUGAAGUAAUUACAUGUGUCAUAUUUUUCUCUUUCAAAAUAAAUGAAAGUAUUAAUUCAUAGUUUCUGGAAAGAAAAUGAAAACCCCAGAAAUGGCUAUGUUCUUAAUGUUUGAAAAUAGGGUAAUAUUAUUCUCUGUUCGAAUGGAGUCUUCCAAGGAAUUACUAGAGUCUCAUACACAAUCGACUUAAAUGCAUUCUUUAUCUUUAAAAGGAAGCAGAAUAGAAUCAUUGAGUAAGUCACAUGUGUUCGCAGCCUUGUCUGGUGUAAUCAUAUCCUACACAAACACAUUAUUCUCUAGUCAGAAGGGUAAGGGGAAUUUGAAACAGGACCUGCCCUUGUGGAGCCCUUUUUUUAUUUAAAGAAUAGUGCAGUGAGAGACCACAUAGUAGAAGAUAACAGAAAAUAUCUUCCACGCCUUCCUCAACCUGUAUACUUUCUCAUUCUCUUUUGUUCUCUAAGGACAUCUGUGGUAAUGAUUAUUCUGUAAAACUCAUAGGUAUAUAGCAGAAGGCAUAUCAUAUUUCAUUUAUUAUUUUGUCUACUAUAAUUAUUGCUCUUUUACAUCAUGCCAUUGUACGUCUUUAAAAUAUUUUGUUUAUAAAAGAUAUGAAAGGAUAUUACAGAAAAUUUAUUGGUUAACUAUAGAUAUCUAAAGAGUAAAUGUUUUAACUCUGAAUUUAAUUAUAUCUUAGGAAGUCUAAUAGAUUUGUAUUAAGCUACAUUUUAAAGAGAUAAAUGUGGUUAAAAGAGAUGCUAAAAUCUGAAUUUAAUUUUCCUUUUUUAUAUUAAUUGCAGUGGAUUUUUAAAAAUGUCCUAACGUAGGCAUUUAAAAGAUAUUCUUAAUUACAAACAACAGUGACGUGAGAUUUUGGAGGCUUUAAAAUAGGUCCAUUAUUUGAAAUGUUUUCAACAUUUUGAUGGCUGGUUUGCUGUCUAUAUAAUGGUUGCAAUUAAAAAUUAAACUUUAAAAAAAAUUAAACUUUUUAAAAAAAAUAAUUUUUUUUUAAAAUUCAAGUUUUUACUUCUUAUUAAGGGUUUUUAUAUUGCCUCCCAGUUUUCCCCUAGGUUAAUCCUUUGGGAAUUUUGAAAUUUACAUCUGAAGGGGUUUUUUUUAAUCUUUUUAUUAUAAAAAUUUUGAACACAUACAAAAAUAGAACAAAUAGUAUGAUGAGCCCCCAAGUUAUAUUUGAGCUUUAAGUGAUAUAUUAGUAUAAGUGCUACAUUUAUUAAUACAACAGAUGUUCAGGAACUCCAGGAAUGGUUGUGGCUUAAUACACACUUGAAAGAAUCUGUAUAAAUCAAAUUUUUAAAAAUAUCCCACCAUUUCCCAACCUAUGACAGACUGUAUUUCAAAUGUUUGUUGAUGGUCAGCCAAUUUUUGGACCUACAAAUAUGAUUCUCAUAGAAAUAAUCUUAAAAUGGCUAUUUGCUUUUCAGGCCAACUCUCAGAAAUUUGUCUAAUUCACAUUAAGGGAAACCCAUACAUCUCUUUUAACAUCAUUUCAAUGAGAAAAUGCUUCCUUUACAAUUGGAAUACUACGGAACAACUGCCACCCAUCUUCUCUUCUACUAAGUAUGGGGGAUAGGAAAGUGGGGAGUCAAGCUCUGGUGAUGGAGAUUCAUUUCCAUGAUGGGCUCUUGAUUCUCUCAGAAAAACCAGUGGGAACUCUGAGAAGACAGUAGGAGGGUGGGGGGAUGGGAGUGCACUCUGUACACACCAUUCUGAAAUUAUUUACCUUUUCUUCAGCUAGUGGAGUUUUUGGGGUUUUUUUUAACGCCUAUUAAAAAAAAGAGGGGUGCCUGGGUGGCUCAGUUGGUCAACUUCCGAUUCUUGAUUUUAGCUCAGGUCAUGAUCUCAGGGUCAUGUGAUCAAGCCCCAUGUUGGGCUCUGCCCUAAGUGGGGAGUCUGCCUGGGAUUCUCUCUCUCCCUCUCCCUCUCCCUCUCCCCCCCCCCACACGGAGCACACAUCCUCUAAAAAUAAAUAAAAAACACUUGCUUAAAAAAAUAAAAAAGAAACCUUCCUUUGUAAAACAAAUACCGUGUCAUAUCUGAAGUUUACAUUUUACAGACUUUUAAAUUAGGCUUCUGAUUUUUUUCUUUAAGUUUCUGACACAGGGGAAAAUUAUUUUCACUGCUGAGAUAUGCCUAAGACAACAAGAAAAGAUUCCUGACUACUAAAACAGAAAAUUAGAAAAUAAACAUAAGUAUUAAAUUGCCAAUAAGCUAAAAUCAGACGGAUGCAAUAAUGUUUAUAGUGAACCUCUAAGUAGUAUUAAGCUUUUAGAGUAUCUGGGAAUGACAAAGCAGAAAGAUGGGUUCUGAUGCUUUUGUCAUGCCACCCUAUACUCACACUGUUCCAAAUUGACCUUAAAUUCUUAUUUUUCCAAAACCCUUCUCUAAGCAAAAACUUGGAGCCAUAGAACUGUGCUCAUCAACUUCUCGUUUUCAUUCUGUAUGCAAUCUGAAAUAAAAUGGGAACUAGAGCAAGUGCUUUACGGGUAGAGCAACAGGGUCAAGAUCCAGAAAGCAUGGAAUAGCUGAAAACAAGGUCAGCUCAGAGCUAGGAACUCCAAACAUUGCAAUGCUUUCUGAGCCUGAGACAGUCGCUUAACCUCCCAAGGUAGUAAAAUGAAUGGUUGAAAUGAAUCAGCCCUAUUUCUUCUAGUUCUAAAAGUCCCAUCUGUGAAUGGCCAUCCUUGAUCCUGUAAAGUCUUUAAAUGCUAGUGUGGUGUGACUGUUACCCUCUCAGCUAAGUUAGGUUCCAUGUGUAUGCUUGUGAAUGCUUGACGGCAGGCCCCCAAAGCAGGCUAGCCUCGUUUUCCAGAGGGAGUAAUGCCAGUACUCCUAAGUACAAAAAGAACCAGGCAUACUUUGUGAUGAGUCCACCGAAGGUCCCACAGCGUGAUCUACCAUAGCUUCACUCCUGACCCAUGCUCCCAUCAGAUAAAGGGCCUACUGUGUGUUAAGUACUGUAGUAAUGAGGUAACUUACAUGUUACUGUAUUAAUCCCUACAGUAACCCUAAGAAUGGGGGUAUUGUCAUUUUACAGAUGAGGAAGUUUGCUAAGAACCUUAGUGAUGGAGCUAGUGAAUGGUAAAACUACAUUCAACCUGCUAUAAGGGGGAUGAACUACAGAUCACUUAUUUAAACCCACCCGCUAAACUAGCUAAGGAGAGAAAACCAAGAAGGCUUCUCUUAAACUCACCAGCAGUUUUAAGAACUCUGGCUCCUCUGCCUAGGGGACCUGGCCCUCACAACUCCCAGAGUUAGCUCAUUUUCUCAAGAUCCACUCCCUGCCCCCCCAUACACACACAUACACACACAAGUCCAGGGUAAGCCUAUCCCCUCCCAGCCCUUCUGAAGUCUCAGGAGAGUGGCCUGCUGCUUUCACAAGGCUCCUGCAGCUAGAAACCCAGUCCUCUCUAACCCAGAUGAGGAAACUCUGGACUUGAUAUUAAGGUAUUGUUCCAGAAGAACUCUUCAAGUAUGAGGGAAGCCCCUCCCUGCCUACCGGUGGUGCUGAGAGUGCCAGAGGCCAAGAUCCCCUGCCAACCAGUGCAAGUCGGGGAAGAGCCUGCAUGAAGGUAGUAGCUCAAGAGGAAUAGAAAUAAACUGCGAGGAACUGGAGUUGUCUGGUGAUCUUAGCGAGGAGCUUCGAGGCGCAGGAAAGUUUCUUCUGCCCAAGAAAGUUUCUUCUGCAUCAAUAACUUCUCCAGUAACUUCAAGGAUGGCUACUUCUAGAUCCCUGAAUUCCUAACUGCUGAUGAAGGAGAAUCCAAAUUUUAGAUAUCAGAGUAAGAAACUCCCCAGAAACAGCAGAGGGCUGUUCUCAAGGUAUGUUUCUGGGACCAGCAGCAUUAGCCUCACCUGGGAACUUGUUAAAGAUGCAAAUGAUUGAGCCCCCCCUGAAUCAGAAGUGGGAUCCAGGAAUAUGUGUUUUCACAACCAUCCAGGUGGUCCUGAUGUACACUAAAGUUUGAAAACCACUGGCCUAGGAAAAUGAAGGAUAAUCCCAGGUUCUCUACAUUAACCUAGAAUUAAUCUGCAACACCUGCCUAGGGCGAGAGUCUCCCCUCCCCUCCCCCACCCCAACUUUAACCAGUGCUAGAGCUCAGUGGUUAGAGUUAGGUGACUUUCCCAACCAAGGCUAUUGCCUAGUUGCUCAUUAUUUUCCUUGAAAACUCCUAGGAAAAUUUUGGGCAGAUAGCAGAUGAUCAGUAAUGACUGAACUGAAAUUUUAAAACAUUGUUUAUGAUAGGGAAAUUGGAAAUAACUUCAAUGUCUAUUAAUAGGAUUUCGAUUAAAAACAAAUUCUAGGAGGAUUGGGUCCAACACCGACCAAUACUACGUUCACUAUAUUCUUAUUGCCUAACAUAGUAUAAAUAUUUAAUAUUUGUUGAUUGAAUGAAUAAAUAUAUCUUCAUAUAUAUUCAAGUCCUGAAGUACAAUGCAGCAUUAAAAAAAGAUGUUUUCUAAUAGCAAUCCCACUCCUGUGUAUUUACCCAAAAACCUGGAAGUCAAUGUUUAUAGCAACUCUACUCAUAAUUGCCAAAAUUUGGAAACAACUCAAAUGUUCUUCACCUGAUGAGUGGAUCAGGGCGGGACCACAUUUCAGGAAGUAGUUAAAGGUACCUUAUUUUAUGUUACUGUAUGAAUUUUUUUCAAAGAAUUUAUUUAUAUAUUAUGUUAAGAAAUAAACAACAUUUUAAAUACUGGAAGGGUAAACACCCAAAAUGUUAAUAAUAGUUAUCUCUGGUUGAUGGGAUGACAAGUGGUUUUUGUUUUCUUUUGUCUUAUUUCUAGUUUCUAAUUUUUCAGUAUAAACAAGUUAUGCUAUUAUAACUAGAAAAAAAAAACAAGUUACUUUUUAAAAUGGGGAGACCUGGAAGCAUAGCGACUCAUAAAAAAUGUAUACAAAUUAGAAAUGUGUAAAUUAUAAGAAUAUUCAAAACUAAGUUUCACUGAAAAAAGAAUUUGGAUACCACCCUCUAGAAUAGUGCUUCUGAAAGUCCUUACAAAUCACCUGCAGUGCUUGUUGAGAUGCAGAUUCUCAUUCCAAGAAUUUGCAUUUCUAACAAGCUCCCACAUGAUCCCAACGCUCCUGGUCCACGGAGGACUUUGAGUAUCAGGGCUCUAAAACUACUGCUGUCAAGAAAGCAGCCACUAAGCCACAUGUGGCUCUUAAGUAUUUGGAAUGUGGCUAGUCAGAAUUGAGAUGUACAAAUGUAAAAUACACACUGGCUUUUGAAGACUUAACACACACACACAAAGAAUGUAAAACAUCUUAACAAUUAUAUUAAGUAUAUGUUGAAAUGAUUUUUUGAACAUAUGAUGUUAAAGAACCUAUAUCAUUAAAAUUAAUUUCACAUGUUUCUUUUUACCAUUUUAAUGUGGCUACUAGAAAAUUUUAAAUCACAUUUGUGGUUUGCAUUUUUUGGCUUGUAUUAUAUUUUUAUUGGAUAGUACUGAUCUAGAAAAACCAUUAACAGGAUUUUACUUCACUCUGGGUCUUAAAUCACCAAUAUAAUGCAGGAAAAGGAUUAAUACCCCAUUAAUGGCCAAACUGGCAACUUUUGUAUAUACACAUAAACAUUUGUAGGAAUUCUGAAAAUCUAUAGGUAGAGGUUGAGACAAAUACAAAUCAAAAUUUUAGACCAGGUGGGAAAUUUUGAGGUCAUCAAGUUGGAACCCCUUGUCUUGCGAAAUUAUUUAUCAAUUUGACAAAGAUGGAUUCAGUACUUCAUAUCUGUAAAUGCUGAAUAGGUACUGACAUGACAGUUAAGUGACUGCAGUGGGGAGCCUCCCCUGAAGAAGCUAAGGAUGAUAGCAGUGGUCUGUCAGAGGACCCCAGGAGGCAGGUUGAUGGAGGACUCACAGGUUGAUGGAGGCAGAGGCCAACACAGACUCCAUUUUCCUGAGAAGAAUCAGAUGAGCUCCACACAUGAGGGCUUACUGGGCCGGCUCUCAGUUUCCCCAGGUUUUAUAGCUUCUGUUUGGUAUUAACGAUGCAAAUAAGGCUUUAAGAUUAGCUGUUUUUUAAGUAAUCAAUGCAAUGCAAGGCAUGCUGUCCCCUCCUCCCUCACACAAAAGACACUUUUCAGAAAGCAAAGACGCUUAGACCUGAGAAACUUUGAAACUUUGAAACUUUGAACAUGGUUGAUGGCAGCAGAGUGAAAUCUGGAGUUUGGCAGAAGCACCAUCAGCCUUCAAUUAUGUGUGCAAAUGAGGGGCAAGAAGUGCUGAGGUGAUUAAAAUCUAUGAAUAAAUCAAAAAGCUCAUUUUAGUGAUUAUUUUUUAAAUUUAUUUAUCAAGAAUAUCUUGGGCGCCUGGGUGGCUCAGUUGGUUAAGCGACUGCCUUCGGCUCAGGUCAUGAUCCUGGAGUCCCUGGAUCGAGUCCUGCAUCGGGCUCCCUGCUCAGCAGGGAGCCUGCUUCUCCCUCUAACCCUCCCCCCUCUCAUGUACUCUCUCUCUAUCAUUCUCGCUCUCUCAAAUAAAUAAAUAAAUCUUUAAAAAAAAAAAAAGAAUAUCUUUAACACCAGAGACAUCACAACUGAAAUUUGUUCUUAUUGGAGUUACAUUUCCUUUCUGUGAGGGAAUGAAAAGACAAAUUUAGGAUAAAUAAUAAAGCUUUUCAGUGAAUUACGAAAAUUCUUGUUACUCCAAGAGGUAGUAUAGGCUGAAAACAUAAACAACCCUUUACAGUUUUUUUUAGUUAAAAUCUGGGUCUCCCCCCUGCCCUCCUGCCAUAAUGUUUCUACCAUUUAUAAUACAGUAUUAAAGGAAUCCAGGUUGCUUUGGUAUGCAUUCUUAACCUAUCCUUCAUUACAUGCACAGACCCAACGGCCCAUGUGAUCAUGGGUUGGAUCUAAUCUGAACAUUUGUAUUAUUCAUUUUCAACCAAUAUUUUUUAAAUUGCCCAUCUGGAAAAAGUCAAACCUACCUGAGAAUGGCCGGAUGGGCCUUGCCCAAGAGUGAAAAACUGCCUAAAGACAUUCAAAACUAAAACUUGGACUAAGCAGAAUAAAUAGUUCUGUGUAAGAAUUAUAACUGCUUUCCUCUGUCUUUAAGAAUAGUUGGAACAGCAUUUCUAGAACCUUAAAUGUUUGCUAGCAAGCAGUGAGUUUGUUUCAUUGAUUUUGCUUCAUUCAUACCAAAAAGUAGAGUAUACUGACUCUUCAGUUGGCUUUGCAUAUUCCUAAUGAUCUUUUUAAAAUAUUUAUUUAUUUAUUUAUUUUAAGGGGGGCGGGUGUGGAGAGGGGCAGAGGGAGAGAAUCUCAAGCAGACUCCCGGCUGAGCAUGGGGCUCAUUGUGGGCUCCACACAGGCUCAGCGUGGGGCUCAACUGGGAACUCAAUCUCACGACCCAGAGAUCAUGACCUGAGCCGAAACCAAGAGUUAGACACUUAACUGACUGAGCCACCCAGGUGCCCCUAUUCACAACGAUUUUUUAAACAUCUCAUUCCCCAACAUGAGCAGUAAUUAUUUAUAGGAAGUGGCCUAAUUUUUUUUUAAAGAUUUUAUUUAUUUAUUUGACAGAGAGAAUGAGAGAGGGAACACAAGCAGGGGGAGUGGGAGAGGGAGAAGCAGGCCUCCCACGGAGCCCGAUGCGGGGCUCGAUCCCAGGACCCUGGGAUCAUGACCUGGGGCGAAGGCAGAUGCUCAACUACUGAGCCACCCAGGCACCCCAAGAAGUGGCCUAAUUUUUAAAAAUAAUAAUCUGCUAUCCCCUCCACACACAAAAGGAAAACUCAUAAUUUCCCUGUUAAAAAUAUGUCUGUUAUAAAGAUACAUGUCCUUUGGAUCCCCAUGUUGUGGGAUGCGGGCAAUCCCUGUCUUGGAAUAUCCCCUAAUGGAAGGACUAGGGAUGAUGAGACAGUUACAAAAGAUUUAGAUUCUGGAAAAAUAUAUACAUGUAAGUGUAGUCCAAUAAUGUAAUUUAAGUAUGAUUUUUCCCCCCUUCAAAUACAGAGUUUUAGGAGAAUAAGAUGUUUUAGGAGAAUCAACACACUGCUCAUGUCUCAUGAAACUCCAAGAUUGCUUUUCUCUUUUUCUGAGUUGCAUCAAUAGAAGAAAUAUGAAAUGAUAAUUAGUCUUCUUCUCACCUUAUCAUAGGUUUUCUAGAUCUAUAAUUUUGAUGCAUAGUAUAUUUAUGAUACAACUUACACCCUUAUUUAUUUGAGAUGAAUUAUUAGAUGCUAUUUGCAGGCCGUGAAAAAAUCACCACUCAUUUCUUUCUAAGCCUCCGAUAUCAGGUGGUCAUUAGAGAGUUUCACAGCCUUUUUGAAAAAAUUUCUAAUCAUCCAACCCUUUAAACAAGUAUUUUCCCCUCUAUGACAUUAAUUUCUCCUUGAAGUGUUUACUUCAGUUAUAAUUUUAGGGGAAAUGGGAAAUACAAUGAUAAGUGCAUUUACGUUCAUAAUGUGCUGAUUCUCUUUUGAAAGGAGUCUGGUAAUAAAGAAGGAAUUCAAACAAAUGCAAUCUAGUUUCUGCGAAAGUACAAGAAAGCUACAGAUCUGCCAACAUUCCGUUCACAUUGAGCUAUGCAUUUCUGAGGCAGGUCUACCCUUACUAGAGGGCAGAAUUUUCCCUCUCUCUCCAGAGAAUAGGCAUAAUAAAGAUGGAUAGCCAUUGAUAAUUACUUGGCUUCAAAAUGAUGCCUUCUUCAUGUCCAUAGAUUUAGGAGCAAGAUGUUUAGAGAACUGUUCCAAAUGUCUGUUGGGUUGAAAAGACCAACCACGGCAAAUCCAAACUUCAUUUUCUUACUCUCCUAAUCCACUGAUUUAUACCUUCUCCUCAUCUAGCCACCAAUACCUCCUGCCCCACUAUCCUGAUCACCCUUGCUUCCUCUUUCCCUGAGAAGUAGGAGUAAUCGGAAAAGAACUUUCACGGACCACACCGCUGGGUCCACAGUCACCUACCGGCAUCUGUGCCCAUGUUGUCUGCCUGCCUUCCUGUUUCUUGCUCCAAAUGAGACCUUCCCAGCUCCACUUCUCUGUGGCUUGUGCACCAGAUCCCAUCCCUUCCCCUGCUCAAGGAUAGUGAAUCAGCAACUCUCCCCUCUCCCCUGCGUCAUCAUUCCCACCCUCUCUCCUGGAUCACUCCCAUUCAUCUAAAGGACUACCACUUAAGUGGGAACAGUCAUCAGCUCUCUCUUGGAUUCUUGUAGGAGCCUCCUAACUGGCCACCUUCUUUCAGCCUCUGCUCCCCUUUGGUCUGUACUCAUCUCAACAGCCAGCAUGCUUCUGCGGAAAUCCAAGGAGAUCUUAUCACUCCUUUGCUCAAAACCCUCCCCAGGCUUCACACCUCAGGGAGUAUAAAAGCUGGAGUCCUUACAAAGGUGUUGUAAGGUCCUGUUUGGUCCUCCCGGCCCUCCUCCUCCCUUUAUCACUUGCACUCCACCUGCUUCUCCCCCUGGGCUCUUGCUGCACCAGCCACAACAAUGCUAUAUACCACUUGUACCAGAUUCUCACAUAGAUUGUUCCCUUCCUUCCUUUGAUCUUUCCUCUAACAUCACCUUCUCAAUAAGGUCUUUCCUGCCCAUUCUUGGAAAUGAUAACUCCCCCUACCUCCCCUGCUCUAUUUAUUUUUCACUUCUCUUCAUGUGGUGAAAUACUAUGUUUUCACUUAAUUGUUGUUUACAGUCUCUUUGCCCUCACCCCAAGUAAGAUCCAUGAGUGGUUGGGAUUUUUCCCCCUUUUUACCUCCUUCCCAUAUUAUGGGUAUAUUCCCUGAACAUAGUAAAUGCUCAAUAAAUAUCUGUUAAAAGAAUGAAUCUGUCUUUAUGGAAGUGUAACUGGAAAAUAAUGUGGGUGUAGUGUAAGCCCUGAUAGUUGUUUUUUGUUCUUCUUUUUUUGUUGUUUGUUUGUUUUUUAUAAUGCAAAUGCCUGAUUUAAGAUUUGAUUGCAUCCGCUUCAAAGAGGCAUUCACUUCAAAGACGGCUAUUUCCAACAGACACGUUGCCAGCCACACGACUAGAUACAGAGCCAGGCCGCCUCCCUCCGUUGAGGUUCCUUUGUUUUAGAGAUCUUGGUUGAUCUUGAUAACUGACCAUUUGGGCCACUUGUUUUUUCCUAGGCUUUAAAUUCCUGCUUUUACAUUUUAAACUCACCAAUAAAGAGUGAGGUGAAACCUUAGACUCCCAACUUCACCCCCAAUAAAAGCAGAACCCCAGGUCCCUGCACUCACUGUGCUUUCUCUUUCUACCCAUGACCUUGCUGUGUGGCCCCCAGUGUGCCGUGUAGUUUCCAGGUCCUCUUAGUAAUAAAACUUUAUUUUUUUUUUUCAACGUUUCCUGACAGUUAUUGCUGAAGGGCAUCUUGCAAUGAUCAGAACCACAAGGACCACUCUAGCCGCAACACUGGUGAUUGACAGGCUGAGACCAACACACAACUGGCCUUGCAUGAUUGCCCUUGCAAUUAACCGCGGGAAAUGCCUUUACCUGCAACGUGCUUACUAACCACCAAAGUCAGGGGGGUAACACCAUCUGAGAAAGAAGCACGCAAGCUGGGGGUCUGUCGUGCCGCUAUACACUUUCACAUACUGCCUACAGUA